ACCGAUGAACAUGUGGGAAGCAGCAGCAAGAGUAGGGUAUGAGAUCGCCAGUGAAAGGGCAGUAACCAUGGACACACCAGCAGCGAAUUUCCCCAUGAGGUCAUCCUCUGUCAGAUCAAGCACCUCAGGACUGAAGACUGAACCAUCAUCGUAAACAGAGUCCACCACAAGCCCAUAGGAGAAAGGCCUGAUGCCAAGCUUGGCAAGGAGGGCAGCCUCAGAAGACCCCACCUUGUCACCCUUCUUAAUCAGCUCCACAGGGGUAAUGAUUUCAACAGUACCCUUGUUAAUCUUGGUGGGAAUGUUAAGCACCUGCAAGUUUUCCAAAUUCAAAUUAAGUUUUGACCAAACAGUAAACACAAAGAGUAUAUACAAAUAAGAAACAGGCUGAACAGCUCACCUGGAAGAAAGAUGUCUGAGAUGGGUCGAGUCCAGUGUUACCAGGAGGCACCACCACAUCAAUUGGAGCAACCAGACCAACACGAGCAGGGGCUCCAACCUUGUACUUGGCAACUUCCUCGCUCACUUCCUUGAGAUCUCCUUUGGUGAAGAUCAAACCAACGUUCCCCUAAUACCAGUAUACAGAAAUGUAAUGAGAAGUUAGAAUCUGUUUAAGAUCAUUCCAGAUUUCAUGUUAAUAUCAUCUCUCGCUGUAUUCUAAAUAUCGGUAUUUAAAUUAGUUACAAUCAUGAAUGUAACGGUAUUUAAAUUAGUUACAAUCAUCAACCAUCAUCCAAAUCUAUGUGCAACCUUAGGUUGAAGCCAAAAUAAACAGGAAAGCACAGAAAUGUAAUCAGAACUUGGAAUCAAUAGCAACUCAUGCCUGAUCAUAUACUAGUAUAAUCUCUCGCCAGUAUUAUAAGGAUGAAUAUUAACAUAGGACAGUAGUUGCAAUAAUACAGCUAAUUACAUCUUAUCGCAUACACAAGUUAACCUUCAUUUAUAUCUGUCGGUUUUCAUUUCAUCAAACAUCAUCACAAUCUCAGAGCGACCAAUGUUGAAGACGAAAUAAACAGGAAAGUAUAAAUGAAAAAACAGCAGAUAAACGAAAUCAUUUCUCUGAAUACCUGAAGCAGAGGAAGGAGGUUGAGGAUAGCAGUGUUGCCAGACUUCUCAGAGUGAACCCUAAUAGUCCUCUUCAUCAUAGUGUUCUUGCCCAUGAGCACAACCGAAUCACCUCUCAAACCCCUCCUGAUGUUCUGAAGCUGGGUGGAUCCGACGUUGUCAGCAGCAACAAUCAGGACCUGGCUGAAAUCGUCGAGGAGCUGACACAUCUUGGAGUCAUAAGCGAGCUUCUUCUCGGCCUUGGAUAGUUUGCCCAUUUUCGGAAGAAGAAAGAUACACUACAACAAACAAAGUAUGGACAGGGGGUGUUUAUACAACAAAAACGAGGGCCGAGACUGAUGCAGUAGCUCUGUCAAGGCGGACAGCGGCGGAGCUGUCACUUUAACCUCCGGGGCGGUGGAUUGAAUGUAAAGAAGGAGAGAGCUAAACCUAAACCCUAGGCAAUUUGGG
rnacentral:lncRNA from 1 species